GGUGCUCAAUUGGUAGAGCACUCCACCUGUAAUGGAGAAAUCCCGGGUUCGAUACCCGGACCA
rnacentral:tRNA from 1 species